rnacentral:misc_RNA from 1 species
CAUUUAGAGGAAGUAAAAGUCGUAACAAGGUUUCCGUAGGUGAACCUGCGGAAGGAUCACUAGUGAUUAAAUCGAGAGCGUCUUCAUUGACCUCUCACCCUUCACAUCCACAUACACCUGUGCACCGUUUGGCUCUUAUAAAAGACGCAAGUCUGCAAUGAGAGUCAUCAAUUUUAUACAUACCCCAGUCUUAUGAAUGUAACAGUUUUAAUAAACAUAAUAAAACUUUUAACAACGGAUCUCUUGGUUCUC